rnacentral:rRNA from 1 species
UACAGAGGUCCCGAGCGUUGUUCGGAUUCACUGGGCGUAAAGGGUGCGUAGGUGGCAUAGAAAGUUUGAUGUGAAAGCUCAGGGCUUAACCCUGAAAUGGCAUUGAAUACUGCUGUGCUGGAGGUUUGGAGGGGGGACUGGAAUUCUUGGUGUAGCAGUGAAAUGCGUAGAUAUCAAGAGGAACACCAGUGGCGAAGGCGAGUCCCUGGACAAUACCUGACACUGAGGCACGAAAGCCAAGGGAGCAAACAGG